UGCGGAAGUCUUUUUGUCGGUGUUGCCAUGGUGAAUUGUAAUUUCGGAGCUCCAUUGAUCAUGGCUUUUCAAAGUCGUGGUGCACACGCUAAACUCAGAGUCAACAUACUCAGAGUGGAUUGAACUAAUUCUGUUCAGCUGUUCUUAAACCGUAAACUCAGAUCGGAAUGAGCACAC